AUGAGCUUGAAUGAUUCUGAUCAUUGGAUUUCAACGAGCUUGAAUGAUCCGGAUCAUUGGAUUUCAACGAGCUUGAAUGAUCCGGAUCAUUGGAUUUCAACGAGCUUCAUGUUGAGUCGUUCAAUUUCAAUGCUCUCGAUGAUUCAGUUACGAUAAGCCUGAUCAUUGGCCCAAUGAGUUUGAAUAAGCUGGUAAAUUGAAUCAUUCAAAUUGAAUGAUCCUGAUUUUAAAAGUUGAACGAUCCAAACAAGUCGGCACAUUCAAGUUGAAACGAUCCAACGAGUCAGUGCAUCCAUGUUGAAUGAUCGAAUGAGCCAGCGCAUUCAAGCACAUUGGGUGAAUGAUCCGGAUCGUUCAAGUUGAACGAUCCAACGAGCCAGCGCACUCAAGCUCAUUCGGGAUCAUUCAAGCUCAUUGAAGAAUCAUUCAAGCUCAUUCAGGAUCAUUGAAAAUUGAAUGAUCCUGAAUGAGCUGGAACGAUCCUUUUUUGCUCGGGCAGGCUUUUCUAAUUAUAAGCAUCCUCUCGCGGGCCACGGCGACAGAGACUUACCGUUGAAGAAGGUGUUUUUGCAACAUCCAGAAUUUCUGGGGGGGGGCAGAUGAUACUAUUUCCAAUUCUAGGGGGGCAGGCCCCCCCUGGCCCCCCCUUCCUACGCCUCUGCCUGUAGCAGAGUGUACCUUGCGGACUAAUGUUGCAUUUGUCUGAGCUAUUCGAAUAGAUUUGACACACAUCUGGAUGAAAAUAACUUGAAUUUGCGAAAUUUCAGCCGUUGGGCGAUGACGUUGACUUCCAAAUUCAGCUGCUACAUUCAGCGUAUGAUUGCGGAUUACGGGGAAACGCCAUUGGUGCAACAAGGACAGCCAAUGGAGACGUUGCAUGUGUGAGGAAUUUGCAAUUUGACUGUUGUUUCUUAUGUAAAAGUUCGCGAAAAAACACGAGGUUGCCACUGGUUUUCUCUGAAAUCAACUCCCAAGCUCAAAAAAAGCUCUCAAGUUGAGGCCAAAAUGGAGGGGAUAUCCCCACCCUACCCUGACAGUCCACGUCUACAUCAAGACAAACUCUCCAUGCAAAGAUAGGGAGCAAAUACAUUAGCAGGGUUGUGCCGGGUUUCA
rnacentral:lncRNA from 1 species